rnacentral:miRNA from 10 species
CUAUUAGGUGGGUGCAAAAGUAAUCGCGGUUUUUGCAAUUACUUGAAAUGGCAAAAACUGCAAUUACUUUUCGCCUAAUAGAUGUAUUCCUAAGUCA